UUUAAGAGAAGCUGUAAGUUUCUGUGUCCAACUUUGAUCGUCCGUCUUAUUUAAAUUUUUUAAUAAUUAGUAUUUUUAUUGUUAUGAGAUAAUAAAAUAUGAAUAGUACUUUAUACAUGGCUUAUGUUUUUAAAUCUUUUUAAAAUAAUUCUAAAUAAGACGAACGGUCAAAGUUAUGCACAGAAAAUCAUAGUUGCAUUUAAA
rnacentral:pre_miRNA from 1 species